UUUCCGUAGGUGAACCUGCGGAAGGAUCAUUAAUGAGUUGUCAUGGGGUUCGAUGCUGGCAGCCAGUUUUUGGAUGCAUGUGCUUGCCCUAACAAUCAUCUUCUUCCAAACACCUGUGCACAUUUUUGAGGGAGUCUUGAGUUGGUUGCCGCUCUUGGGUGAUUUUCUCACAUUCCCUUAAAUCAUUAUACGCUAUUAACAAUGUUGAACGUGCUCUGUGCCGUAAGGCCAUUAAUAUAAUACAACUUUUAACAACGGAUCUCUUGGCUCUC
rnacentral:misc_RNA from 1 species